GCCCACUCCAAGAUGAGGUCUCCCCGGGACUUCGGUCCCCUAAAGGGCCGUCCGAGACGAGGACGUUGAUAGGCUGGAGGUGGAAGCGCAGCAAUGUGUGAAGCUGACCAGUACUAAUCGCCCGUGAGGCUUGACCAC
rnacentral:rRNA from 1 species